UGGUCCGCAAUCAUGCCAAGAUAGUUCCCAGCAUCCUCAGAUGCUUUCCAAAUGUUGAGACGCUCCACAUCAAGUCUGGAGAAACGCAUCAAUCCACUGGCAAGCUCAACAUGAAAUUAUGGCAUGAGUCUGGUACCAUAGAAUGCAUCCGAUCACGCGUCAAGCGCCUUGUUUUCCAUGGUUUCCGAGGGGGGCGAAGUGAGCUCGCCUUCCUCAAAUUUUUCUUUGAGAGCGCGCUAGUGCUGAAGGAGGUGGUGAUUCUGUUGGCUCCUGGUUUUACUUCAAUAGAGGAGGUGCAUUCCAGAAUUGCGAGUCUGGGGUCCACGAAACGGGCCAGUGAAGCCUCCUCAGUGCUGGUCACUGGCAGUUCUGAUCCUCAAGGAGAUUACAUUCAGAGCUUCAAGAGAGGAUCAGACUUUUCUAUUCGUGACCCUUUUGAAGUCAUAAUAGAUGCCAAUGCAUUUGAUCAUGCAUAGUAAAUUGUUCCGGAAGUUGUUAAUGAUCUGUUGCUCUGGUAUGUGCAUGCAAGACUAUUUGAAUUUGUUUCAGUGUUUGAAGAGUAGCCCCGUCUCUUUGUUCUAGCAUGAUUACCUCAAUUGUCCAAGUUAGUAGUACCA